rnacentral:rRNA from 1 species
UAAGAAGGUGGCUAGCGUUGUUGGGAUUUACUGGGCGUAAAGGGCGCGUAGGCGGAUUUUUAAGUCGGGGGUGAAAUCCCGGAGCUCAACUCCGGAACUGCCUUCGAUACUGAAAGUCUGGAGCACGGUAGAGGUGAGUGGAAUUCCGAGUGUAGAGGUGAAAUUCGUAGAUAUUCGGAGGAACACAAGUGGCGAAGGCGGCUCACUGGACCGUUGCUGACGCUGAGGCGCGAAAGCGUGGGGAGCAAACAGG